rnacentral:rRNA from 2 species
UACGUAGGGGGCAAGCGUUGUCCGGAUUUACUGGGCGUAAAGAGCGCGUAGGCGGAAGCUUAAGUGUGGCCUGAAAGCCCCCGGCUCAACCGGGGAAGGUGGCUGCAAACUGGGCUUCUUGAGGGGGAUAGGGGAAAGUGGAAUUCCGGGUGUAGCGGUGAAAUGCGUAGAGAUCCGGAGGAACACCAGUGGCGAAGGCGGCUUUCUGGGUCCGCCCUGACGCUGAGGCGCGAAAGCGUGGGGAGCGAACGGG